rnacentral:sRNA from 1 species
GCCAGGCAUGGUCAUACAUGUCUGUAAUCUCAGUUUCCUGAGAUACUGAGGCAGAAGGAUCACUUGAGCCCAGGAGUUCAGGGCCAGUCUGGGCAACAAAGAAAGAUCUCAU